rnacentral:rRNA from 1 species
UACGGAGGGUGCAAGCGUUGUCCGGAUUUAUUGGGUUUAAAGGGUGCGUAGGCGGCCCGUUAAGUCAGUGGUGAAAGCCUCCAGCUCAACUGGAGAACUGCCAUUGAUACUGGCGGGCUUGAGUACAGACGAGGUUGGCGGAAUUGAUUGUGUAGCGGUGAAAUGCAUAGAUACAGUCAAGAACACCGAUUGCGUAGGCAGCUAACUAGGCUGUAACUGACGCUGAGGCACGAAAGCGUGGGGAGCGAACAGG